rnacentral:lncRNA from 1 species
AAAAGAAAAACGAACCAGCUUGAGAUGAGGCCGCCGCAGCUGCUUGGCAACAAUUAAGAAGUGAGCAAGGUGCUGAAGGAAUGAGGCAUAUCCCCAUUGACUGUGAAAUAAAAGCGAUUGGUUAAAAACAGGAGAUCAAUCAGCUACUCUGUGGACAGACAUGAGACCCCAGGUAACACCGAGCACUCCACAGCUCAGACAAAUUGGCAAUCAUUACAUCAUCAGAAAUUAAAACAUUUGGUUGGUUGGUUGGUUUUUCCUGUCAUGUUUAAAAUUAUCAUCAUUUUUUUUUUCCUCUCUCUCUCUCUCUCUCUCUCUCUCCCUCUCUUUCUCUUUUGUCUUUUCUUUUCACCAACGGUGCCUCGCCAAGGGGUCAAACCAGGUUGUACUCCUUCAGGUUGAGCUGUAGGAUGGUGUCCUUCACGGCUGCAAAGACGAAGCGGAUGUUCUCUGUGUCUGUGGCACACGUGAAGUGGGAGUAGAUGAUUUUGUCGCUGUCUGGAUUCAAAUCCACAAACAUCUUCAGGAUGAACUCACGGGCUGCCUGAGCGUCCCUCUGCGGGCCAUCAAACUCUGGGAAAUAGUCAACGAGAUGGGAAUAGAGGAUCUUGUCUUCCAGCAGAUCCUUCUUGUUCAGGAAGAGGAUAACCGAUGAGUUUUGGAACCAGGGAUAAGUGAUAAUGGUUCGGAAGAGGGCUUUACUCUCUUCCAUCCGGUUCUCAUUAUCAGACUCCACCAGAACUUGGUCAUAUUCACUAAGUGCUACUAAAAACAUGAUGGAAGUCACAUUUUCAAAGCAAUGGAUCCACUUCCUCCGUUCUGAUCUCUGACCUCCAACAUCCACCAUUCUGAAGAUAAUAUUCUCUAGGUCAAAGGGGUACUCUAUGAUCCCAGUCGUAGGAACUCGAACCCGUAGCACAUCUUGCUGAGUUGGUAGAUAUCCCGGGGUAGCGAUACGAUCCACGUCGCUGAGAUAGUAUUUAGCUGAAUCAGAAAGUUGGUAUUCUCUUCUUCUGUCAUAACACUCCUGUAUUCCAGGGUCGUUCCACAAGGUUUUAAUUGCACUUACGUAGGGCUGCUCAAAUGUCAUGACCUUUUCUACAUCCACUUCCCGGAUCAGGACUGCGUUGGCCUUGUUCUGUUCGUAUUUGUACAGAAUCUUCAGGGUUUCCAUGGCCCUGAUCAUGGACUGCAUGGCAGUGAAGAUGUUUUGAUAUACCAGCUUGGUAAAACCUUUUUUGUCCUCUUCAGAGUAGCCUGAGCCAUGAAUGAUACGCAUUUGCUUAAUGAACGUGCUUUUUCCACUCUCCCCAGUGCCCAACAGCAGCAGCUUCAGCUCUCGCCGGGCGUCGCGUUUGUCCCUCCGCAGCUGCUUCUCGAUCUCCGCGUUGAUGCGUUUCGACUCCUUCACCUCGUCGCUCAGGCAACAAGCCAUCAUGGACUCCAGAGUCAUGGUCCCGCCGCCGCCGGGACGCUCCCGUCCGCCCGGCGCCGAUCACCGCUCUCCGCGCGGCCGGGACCCCCGGCCCGGCCCGGCCCCGCCGCCCCUUCCCCUCCCG